AUUGAACGCUAACGGCGUGCUUAACACAUGCAAGUCGAGCGGCAGCAUGAUCUGUAGCAAUACAGAUUGAUGGCGAGCGGCGGACGGGUGAGUAAUGCAUAGGAAUCUGCCUUGUAGUGGGGGAUAACCCGGGGAAACUCGGGCUAAUACCGCAUAAUCUCUACGGAGCAAAGUGGGGGAUCGUAAGACCUAACGCGAAAAGAUGAGCCUAUGUUGGAUUAGCUAGUUGGUGGGGUAAUGGCUCACCAAGGCGACGAUCCAUAGCUGGUCUGAGAGGAUGAUCAGCCACACUGGGACUGAGACACGGCCCAGACUCCUGCGGGAGGCAGCAGUGGGGAAUAUUGGACAAUGGGCGAAAGCCUGAUCCAGCAACGCCGUGUGUGUGAAGAAGGCCUUCGGGUUGUAAAGCACUUUUAGUUGGGAAGAAAAGCUCAUGGGUAAUAUCCAUGAGUGCUGACGUUACCAACAGAAAAAGCACUGGCUAACUCUGUGCCAGCCGCCGCGGUAA
rnacentral:rRNA from 1 species